CUGUGCUGUUGCCAAGCGACUGCAAGGACCUACUUGAAAGGCGGCCAUCUAGGCCAUUUCCUGAUUAAGCCGCCCGUAGCAGGAAUCAAGGCCUGCUGCUCUGGCAUCGCAUCUAGUCUCAAAUAAUUGUUCCAUGUUCUUGAAAUUAAGCCCUUUCCUUGUGAUAGAAUUACAAUUCCGAGGUAAGUGAAAAACUAACCUCCCGCCCAUCCUUCCAUCUGCCAGGUCCUGUGUACGUUUAAGAGCCCAGGCUGUCACAUGCUGGACUUCAAUUGGGGAGCUGAAGAAUGUCCAAUGACAGCGUCUUUAAUUGUGCUGAGCAAAUCCAGGUCAAACAGAAGUAGGUCACCAAACCGACAAGCCAGUUGACCUUGGAUCACUGCAAACUCAGAAAGGAAACAAAAGAAGCACCACUAUAGUCUUAACUACCAAGCGCCACUGCACGGCCGAGCCUCAGCUUCCUCGUCUGCAGAAAGACAGCAAUCCUUACGCCCACGAGGAGCUCCGGCACAAGGCUCAGCAACAAUCUCCUGGACCAUUUUAACAGCCACUGAAGCCGUUCUGCUGCCACCCUCCUCCAGUCCAGCCCCCACACUGCCACCAGCUGGCUUUCUAAAAUAAAAGUGCUGACCACGUCACUCACCUCCUGAAAGAUGCCCACUAGAUUCGUACUGCCGGUGGGAUAAACCCCAAGUCUUAGCCCGCAGGCAGGCCUGUCUGAAUUCAUUCAUUUUUCUCAUUCAGCCAUCCCAUCUAAUGUCCUCUGAUUACCUACUGUGUGCCAGGCUCUUUUCCUGCCCUGGAGCAGUGACUGUGAUAAACAGCACCAGGACCCUCCUCACGGAUUACGUUCCAGCGGGGUGAGACGAACAAAAAGACAAACAAGGUACAGUCGGAGGUCGGGGAGAGGUGAGUGCCAAGAAAAGCAGCGCAGGGUGAGGGGACAGUGACCGUGGGAAAGGGAGGGACAGAUAGUGCUUUCUUUUCCUUUUUUUUU